AACGUAUCCAAUAAUGGGGGAUAACUAAUCGAAAGGUUGGCUAAUACCGCAUACGCCCUACGGGGGAAAGCUAGGGACCUUCGGGCCUGGCGUUAAUGGAGCGGCUGAUAUCUGAUUAGCUAGUAGGUGAGGUAAAAGCUCACCUAGGCGACGAUCAGUAGCUGGUCUGAGAGGACGACCAGCCACACUGGAACUGAGACACGGUCCAGACUCCUACGGGAGGCAGCAGUGGGGAAUUUUGGACAAUGAGCGCAAGCCUGAUCCAGCCAUUCCGCGUGAGU
rnacentral:rRNA from 1 species